GGGUUGUGAGGUUAAGCGACUAAGCGUACACGGUGGAUGCCCUGGCAGUCAGAGGCGAUGAAGGACGUGCUAAUCUGCGAAAAGCGUCGGUAAGGUGAUAUGAACCGUUAUAGCCGGCGAUGUCCGAAUGGGGAAACCCAGUGUGAUUCGUCACACUAUCGUUAACUGAAUACAUAGGUUAACGAGGCGAACCGGGGGAACUGAAACAUCUAAGUACCCCGAGGAAAAGAAAUCAACCGAGAUUCCCCCAGUAGCGGCGAGCGAACGGGGAGCAGCCCAGAGUUUGAAUCAGCUUGUGUGUUAGUGGAACGGUCUGGAAAGUCCGACGGUACAGGGUGAUAGUCCCGUACACCAAAAUGCACAGGCUGUGAACUCGAAGAGUAGGGCGGGACACGUGGUAUCCUGUCUGAAUAUGGGGGGACCAUCCUCCAAGGCUAAAUACUCCUGACUGACCGAUAGUGAACCAGUACCGUGAGGGAAAGGCGAAAAGAACCCCGGCGAGGGGAGUGAAAAAGAACCUGAAACCGUGUACGUACAAGCAGUGGGAGCACCUUCGGGUGUGACUGCGUACCUUUUGUAUAAUGGGUCAGCGACUUAUAUUCUGUAGCAAGGUUAACCGUAUAGGGGAGCCGCAGGGAAACCGAGUCUUAACUGGGCGUUAAGUUGCAGGGUAUAGACCCGAAACCCGGUGAUCUAGCCAUGGGCAGGUUGAAGGUUGGGUAACACUAACUGGAGGACCGAACCGACUAAUGUUGAAAAAUUAGCGGAUGACUUGUGGCUGGGGGUGAAAGGCCAAUCAAACCGGGAGAUAGCUGGUUCUCCCCGAAAGCUAUUUAGGUAGCGCCUCGUGAAUUCAUCUUCGGGGGUAGAGCACUGUUUCGGCUAGGGGGUCAUCCCGACUUACCAACCCGAUGCAAACUACGAAUACCGAAGAAUGUUAUCACGGGAGACACACGGCGGGUGCUAACGUCCGUCGUGAAGAGGGAAACAACCCAGACCGCCAGCUAAGGUCCCAAAGUCAUGGUUAAGUGGGAAACGAUGUGGGAAGGCACAGACAGCCAGGAUGUUGGCUUAGAAGCAGCCAUCAUUUAAAGAAAGCGUAAUAGCUCACUGGUCGAGUCGGCCUGCGCGGAAGAUGUAACGGGGCUAAACCAUGCACCGAAGCUGCGGCAGCGACACUAUGUGUUGUUGGGUAGGGGAGCGUUCUGUAAGCCUGCGAAGGUGACCUGUGAGGGUUGCUGGAGGUAUCAGAAGUGCGAAUGCUGACAUAAGUAACGAUAAAGCGGGUGAAAAGCCCGCUCGCCGGAAGACCAAGGGUUCCUGUCCAACGUUAAUCGGGGCAGGGUGAGUCGACCCCUAAGGCGAGGCCGAAAGGCGUAGUCGAUGGGAAACAGGUUAAUAUUCCUGUACUUGGUGUUACUGCGAAGGGGGGACGGAGAAGGCUAUGUUAGCCGGGCGACGGUUGUCCCGGUUUAAGCAUGUAGGCUGGUUGUCCAGGCAAAUCCGGAUAAUCAAGGCUGAGGUGUGAUGACGAGGCACUACGGUGCUGAAGUAACAAAUGCCCUGCUUCCAGGAAAAGCCUCUAAGCAUCAGGUAACAUCAAAUCGUACCCCAAACCGACACAGGUGGUCAGGUAGAGAAUACCAAGGCGCUUGAGAGAACUCGGGUGAAGGAACUAGGCAAAAUGGUGCCGUAACUUCGGGAGAAGGCACGCUGGUGUGUAGGUGAAGUCCCUGCGGAUGGAGCUGAGACCAGUCGAAGAUACCAGCUGGCUGCAACUGUUUAUUAAAAACACAGCACUGUGCAAACACGAAAGUGGACGUAUACGGUGUGACGCCUGCCCGGUGCCGGAAGGUUAAUUGAUGGGGUUAUCCGUAAGGAGAAGCUCUUGAUCGAAGCCCCGGUAAACGGCGGCCGUAACUAUAACGGUCCUAAGGUAGCGAAAUUCCUUGUCGGGUAAGUUCCGACCUGCACGAAUGGCGUAAUGAUGGCCAGGCUGUCUCCACCCGAGACUCAGUGAAAUUGAACUCGCUGUGAAGAUGCAGUGUACCCGCGGCAAGACGGAAAGACCCCGUGAACCUUUACUAUAGCUUGACACUGAACAUUGAGCCUUGAUGUGUAGGAUAGGUGGGAGGCUUUGAAGCGUGGACGCCAGUCUGCGUGGAGCCAACCUUGAAAUACCACCCUUUAAUGUUUGAUGUUCUAACGUUGGCCCCUUACCGGGGUUGCGGACAGUGUCUGGUGGGUAGUUUGACUGGGGCGGUCUCCUCCCAAAGCGUAACGGAGGAGCACGAAGGUUAGCUAAUCCUGGUCGGACAUCAGGAGGUUAGUGCAAUGGCAUAAGCUAGCUUGACUGCGAGCGUGACGGCGCGAGCAGGUGCGAAAGCAGGUCAUAGUGAUCCGGUGGUUCUGAAUGGAAGGGCCAUCGCUCAACGGAUAAAAGGUACUCCGGGGAUAACAGGCUGAUACCGCCCAAGAGUUCAUAUCGACGGCGGUGUUUGGCACCUCGAUGUCGGCUCAUCACAUCCUGGGGCUGAAGUAGGUCCCAAGGGUAUGGCUGUUCGCCAUUUAAAGUGGUACGCGAGCUGGGUUUAGAACGUCGUGAGACAGUUCGGUCCCUAUCUGCCGUGGGCGCUGGAGAAUUGAGGGGGGCUGCUCCUAGUACGAGAGGACCGGAGUGGACGCAUCACUGGUGUUCGGGUUGUCAUGCCAAUGGCACUGCCCGGUAGCUAAAUGCGGAAGAGAUAAGUGCUGAAAGCAUCUAAGCACGAAACUUGCCCCGAGAUGAGUUCUCCCUGAGACUUUAAGUCUCCUGAAGGAACGUUGAAGACGACGACGUUGAUAGGCCGGGUGUGUAAGCGCAGCGAUGCGUUGAGCUAACCGGUACUAAUGAACCGUGAGGCUUAACCUUACAACGCCGAAG
rnacentral:rRNA from 1 species